rnacentral:piRNA from 1 species
UCCAGUAAUGCCUGCUCUUUAAUCCAUUUCU